rnacentral:tRNA from 1 species
UGGUCGAAUGGUUACGCUGUCCGCUUUGUAAGCGGAUGAUCAUGGAUUCGAUUCCCAU